AAGUCGUAACAAGGUUUCCGUAGGUGAACCUGCGGAAGGAUCAUUACUAUCAAAAAAAUUAAGGUCCACGGGACGGAGCUCUCCAAUAGGAAGGCUGGCAGAUGUCCGGUUCUGCUGGCUGGCAAGCAGGAAAGAGGUUCGAGAAAAUCCUUUUUUACGGUUCUUUGGUUUAGCCUCUGGCUGUAAUUAUAGCGUCGUUCCUCCGGUACACUUGAGCGAGUUCUCGUCUGAACCCUACCCUUGCAUUUUUGCGCACCCAUUGUUUCCUCGGCAGGCUUGCCUGCCAGUAGGACCCUAUUUAAACCUCUUGCAAUUGUAAUCAGCGUCAGAAAUAACGUAAUCGUUACAA
rnacentral:misc_RNA from 1 species